ensembl:lncRNA MUC20-OT1 MUC20 overlapping transcript
ACAGGGGUCAGUGGUGGAAGUGAGACCGAAAUAGACUCUGAAGUAAUAUCUGGACUUUGAAAUUGCAGCUGCUCCCAACCCCAGAACCUUUGCUGUCUUGGGACGGAUCACCGCUGCAAGAGGGGAAGUUGCUACUGUGAUGAAUUCUGCCAUGUGGCACCAGACUGCCACCCAGACCACAGUGUCCUCUGCAACCCUGCUUCUCAGAUGACCAAGAUGGUGCUGCAGAUGGUGCUGAGGAUGGAGAACCCACCAAGCCCCGCUAGGAGCCACCUAGACUGGAUGCAGAGCAUGGUUCAGCGAGUUCUCCAAACCAGCCUCCCAGGAAUGCCAUUCACCAUGGCUGUGAGGAGAAUAAAGAAGAGAGCCUGACUCCUCUUCUGAGGCCCCUUCCCCACCCUGAGCCAGCAGGAUCCACGGAGCAGAGGUCAUCUGUCCCCAGCUUGGCCCACUGAGGCCAGCAUGGCUGGGCCCAGGAUGCUUGUCUCUCAGCUCCCAUCCUGUGUACUUCCACAUUGGUUUAACCAGAGGAAAACUGAAAUGUACAAUUGUCAUAAACACAUUUAAAUGUGCGUAGAAUCAGCCAUACAAAUUGUGAAACAUA